AGUACUUAAAUCAAGGCAGUCUUCCUUUUAGAGAGCUAUGAAAAAGGAACUCCCAUAAAAAAGAACCAAACGUUUACUUCCUUGGAAAGCAGAUUAACUCAAAACAGUUCCAAGUCAUUUGGAGCAGGAGUAAUUGUGAAAGUUCAGAUGUUUCAUGGUUUUAACUUCUACAAUUGGGCCUACGAUCAAGGUGUGAGAUAAAAAUCGGUGUUCAUUCCUCCCCCCCCCCAUAUAUGACAGCUAUUUGAUAAAAAGACUUUUCUGAGCCAUUAAGUUACGUUGGCAUCUUUGUUGAAAGUGACGUGGUUGCAUACAGGUGGGCAUGCCGUGGCAUUUCCUGAUGCGUUCGGUUCAUCUGCACGGACGCCACAGUGCCUCCGUCUCUAGCUUCACAAAAGAUCUGGCAGAGUUCAGGAGAGUAAGCUCUCCAGCUGUUCUUUUACAAGUUGCGUUGACUCUUUGAAUUUCGUAGGCAUUCUAAAAGGAGUUUGCCAUUUUCUAUAAAGGAUUUUGGCGGGCAUUGAAUGUACUUAUCACCUUGGAGAAAGUGGACGUGUUAACAACCGGAUGCGGCUCUUCGUUUGUUUUACUCUCCUUUAAAUUAUUUUCAUUUUCAGGGGACAUGUCUUUGUGCAUAGUCUGUAAUCUCUCUCUCUGUAUCCCACACAUUUCCGGGUGCUACUGUGAAUGGGGCUGUACUUUUAAAUUUCAUUCUCUGGUUGUUGCUAGAAUGUGGAAAGAAAUACGGUUGACCUUUGUUUAGCGACCUCUUGUGACUUUGCUAAAUUGGCUCAUUAGCUCUGGUAGCAGUUUUGUAGAUUUGAUUCGUUCUACCCCCAUGAUCAUGUCGUGUGAAUAAAGACUACUAACUCCCUC